rfam:Rattus norvegicus chromosome 4, whole genome shotgun sequence.
GGGGAUUUAGCUCAGUGGUAGAGCGUUUGCCUAGCAAGCGCAAGGCCCUGGGUUCGGUCCCCAGCUCA